CUGGAGGCACGUUAGACUGCCGGGCUCCGCCACAUAACGAACCGACAAUAAAGCCGGCGGAGCGUUUCCGUCCGACCAGGCCCUGGCGGAGGUCGAAUGGCAAAUGAACAACGGACCGUGCGCCCACAAUGCACCGGGACUGGACCAGGCGGUGCCUUUUACGCGAGGAGGUUCCAACCAGGGACACCUCCUCGUCUGAUGUAUUGUGUGUGCGAGGCAGCAUCUCAGAACCAAGGCAAUAAUCAUUUCACAGAAAAUGCACCGCCCCGAGUGUCUUAUUGCUGUGAUGAAAUGGAAAUUUAAAUAAAAGGUCGAACACGUGCGUUCCCAGGGAAGUAUUGACAUGGGUGUUACAUCACCGGCAGCCAAUCAGAUAACUCCAGUCGUGUUUAUACUUCUACUACCACCUUUCUGAUCUUUAAUUUGGCCUCCAAUGUAGAUUCACCCACCAAGAAGAAAUUCUCUCAGUAAACAAGGUCUCAAGUUUACAUCGGCUAUUAGCAAAGCAACUGUUUCUUACAAGAGAAGACACAUCACAUUCUGACAAAAAUGGUUUUCUAGGAAUGGCAGUCCUGAACUAAAUCCCUGCCCUUCUAUGCCUUUCCCCUCACGAGUAGUGUCAAAAGCUGCUCUGUCAUCAUGAAGAUACUGGGACUUUAGAAACUGGAGAGGCAGCUGAAUGCUGCACACCUGGUCCAGAAGCUAUGUCUCAGGAAUUGGAUUCUUUGCAGCCUGAGCUGGAGAUCCUAAGCAAGACACUUACUUAGCUUCUCUGCAUCUCUGAGAAAGGUUUCUCUUUUUGUUAAAUAAGAAUAAUACUUUACAGGUUCAAAUGGAUAUCAAGGUAUUUUAUAAAGUGAUAUACUAGUGUUAAUUGUUUCUGUCAUCUUAAAGUAAAGACAGAAAUUAUAAAUAAAUAAAGUAGGAAUUUAAAUAAUUGAACUUUGGGGACUCUGGUCCAAAAAUACUUUGUCCUAAUCUCAAUUUCCCCCCUUUCUGUUGUUAAGUCACAUUACAUUUUUCCUCCAAAAAACAUAAAUAUUUGAAAUAAUAUAUAUAUAUCCCUGUGUUUUUUUUAAGAAGCUCUGCAAAUAGUCAGGUUCCAUUAGUCAUUCACAUAUAGGUAUUCAAUUUGAAUGUUUUAAUGGGAUGUUAAGAUAACUACACUGAGAACAUGGGAGUUUUAUUAGGGAAGAGAGAAGCAAUCAUUAGGAAACAGAACAUUUUUAAGAAGUUGGAAUAGGCCCAAAUGGAGGGAAGCAGUGAGAACGUGGGACAGCUUAGGAAAUCUGGAGAAGCAUCAGCAGGAGGAACAGGGAGGAAGAAAAGGUGUAGCUAACACAUCAGACUUCACAUGUUCUAGAAUUUUCCUCUUCAUAUAGAAAAUGGGGGAAGCUCUCUUCAUUCCACUCUCCUCAGUAAGACUUCUAAGGCCCACAAUUCAAGCAAAUAAUACAUAUCCAAGGUUACCCAGGUUUUCGUGCACUCACGUAGAAAAUCAACCAUCCCAGUGUAUCUGAAAGAAAAAUGUAUUCCAACUUCAAAAGAGCCAGCCCUCAAAUGCAUUUUUGGAAUGCAAUCUGUUUGGAAAGUGAAAUAACCAGGCAGCCUGUACAAGUUAAUUUUCAAAGAGAGUUUGCAGUUAGAACACAUCAACUUCUAUAAAAACCUGGUUUCUAAUGGGUGCUGAAUCUUUUGGAGCUAUCUUACAUACAUUUUGGAAGGAGAUGGAUUAUAAGUCCAUAAAGUGUAUAGAUAAAAAGCAUUUAGAUAGAUUUUUUAAGAUUUUUAAGACAGAGCUAUAGGAUAGCUUCUCCAUGUUCAGACAUCCUGGAAAUCUUUUUCCAUAGCCCUGAAAUCAACUAUUUACUUUAGGAUAUAAUGGAGCUUCCUUAAAUAUAGCUUGAGAAUAAUUUCAUCUACAAUAAAUCACAGCUAUUUGAAAAAAAGCUCUGUAAAAUAUACUGUAGCCAUGUCCAUGGCUUAUUAAC